AGCGACAGGUCCUUUAAAAAAGUAUGGUCCUCCUCUGGAAUCAUGGUCAAUGUCCCCACACCUAAUAGAGGCAUGGCCCUCCUCUGGAAUCAUGGUCAAUGUCCCCACAGCUAAUAGAGGUGUGGUCCUCCUCUGGAAUCAUGGUCAAUGUCCCCAC